GAUGAACGCUGGCGGCGUGCCUAAUACAUGCAAGUCGAGCGAACCACUUCGGUGGUGAGCGGCGAACGGGUGAGUAACACGUAGGUGAUCUGCCCAUCAGACGGGGACAACGAUUGGAAACGAUCGCUAAUACCGGAUAGGACGAAAGUUUAAAGGUGCUUCUGGCAUCGCUGAUGGAUGAGCCUGCGGCGCAUUAGCUAGUUGGUAGGGUAAAGGCCUACCAAGGCGACGAUGCGUAGCCGACCUGAGAGGGUGAACGGCCACACUGGGACUGAGACACGGCCCAGACUCCUACGGGAGGCAGCAGUAGGGAAUCUUCGGCAAUGGGCGAAAGCCUGACCGAGCAACGCCGCGUGAAUGAUGAAGGCCUUCGGGUUGUAAAAUUCUGUUAUAAGGGAAGAACGACUUUAGUAGGAAAUGGCUAGAGUGUGACGGUACCUUAUGAGAAAGCCACGGCUAACUACGUGCCAGCCGCCGCGGUAA
rnacentral:rRNA from 1 species